ACUUAGGGAUCUGCCCUUUGGAGGGGGAUAACUAUUGGAAACGAUAGCUAAUACCGCAUAUUACCUACGGGUAAAAGGGGGUAACGUUGUUACCUCUCGCCAGAGGAGGAACCUAAGCGAGAUUAGCUAGUUGGUGGGGUAAAGGCUCACCAAGGCGACGAUCUCUAGCUGUUCUGAGAGGAAGAUCAGCCACACUGGGACUGAGACACGGCCCAGACUCCUACGGGAGGCAGCAGUGGGGAAUAUUGCACAAUGGGGGAAACCCUGAUGCAGCCAUGCCGCGUGUGUGAAGAAGGCCUU
rnacentral:rRNA from 1 species